GAAGUGCGAAUGCUGACAUAAGUAACGAUAAAGCGGGUGAAAAGCCCGCUCGCCGGAAGACCAAGGGUUCCUGUCCAACGUUAAUCGGGGCAGGGUGAGUCGACCCCUAAGGCGAGGCCGAAAGGCGUAGUCGAUGGGAAACAGGUUAAUAUUCCUGUACUUGGUGUUACUGCGAAGGGGGGACGGAGAAGGCUAUGUUGGCCGGGCGACGGUUGUCCCGGUUUAAGCGUGUAGGCUGGUUUUCCAGGCAAAUCCGGAAAAUCAAGGCUGAGGCGUGAUGACGAGGCACUACGGUGCUGAAGCGACAAAUGCCCUGCUUCCAGGAAAAGCCUCUAAGCAUCAGGUAACAUCAAAUCGUACCCCAAACCGACACAGGUGGUCAGGUAGAGAAUACCAAGGCGCUUGAGAGAACUCGGGUGAAGGAACUAGGCAAAAUGGUGCCGUAACUUCGGGAGAAGGCACGCUGAUAUGUAGGUGAAGCGACUUGCUCGUGGAGCUGAAAUCAGUCGAAGAUACCAGCUGGCUGCAACUGUUUAUUAAAAACACAGCACUGUGCAAACACGAAAGUGGACGUAUACGGUGUGACGCCUGCCCGGUGCCGGAAGGUUAAUUGAUGGGGUUAGCGGUAACGCGAAGCUCUUGAUCGAAGCCCCGGUAAACGGCGGCCGUAACUAUAACGGUCCUAAGGUAGCGAAAUUCCUUGUCGGGUAAGUUCCGACCUGCACGAAUGGCGUAAUGAUGGCCAGGCUGUCUCCACCCGAGACUCAGUGAAAUUGAACUCGCUGUGAAGAUGCAGUGUACCCGCGGCAAGACGGAAAGACCCCGUGAACCUUUACUAUAGCUUGACACUGAACAUUGAGCCUUGAUGUGUAGGAUAGGUGGGAGGCUUUGAAGUGUGGACGCCAGUCUGCAUGGAGCCGACCUUGAAAUACCACCCUUUAAUGUUUGAUGUUCUAACGUGGGCCCCUUACCGGGGUUGCGGACAGUGUCUGGUGGGUAGUUUGACUGGGGCGGUCUCCUCCUAAAGAGUAACGGAGGAGCACGAAGGUUGGCUAAUCCUGGUCGGACAUCAGGAGGUUAGUGCAAUGGCAUAAGCCAGCUUGACUGCGAGCGUGACGGCGCGAGCAGGUGCGAAAGCAGGUCAUAGUGAUCCGGUGGUUCUGAAUGGAAGGGCCAUCGCUCAACGGAUAAAAGGUACUCCGGGGAUAACAGGCUGAUACCGCCCAAGAGUUCAUAUCGACGGCGGUGUUUGGCACCUCGAUGUCGGCUCAUCACAUCCUGGGGCUGAAGUAGGUCCCAAGGGUAUGGCUGUUCGCCAUUUAAAGUGGUACGCGAGCUGGGUUUAGAACGUCGUGAGACAGUUCGGUCCCUAUCUGCCGUGGGCGCUGGAGAACUGAGGGGGGCUGCUCCUAGUACGAGAGGACCGGAGUGGACGCAUCACUGGUGUUCGGGUUGUCAUGCCAAUGGCACUGCCCGGUAGCUAAAUGCGGAAGAGAUAAGUGCUGAAAGCAUCUAAGCACGAAACUUGCCCCGAGAUGAGUUCUCUCUGACUCCUUGAGAGUCCUGAAGGAACGUUGAAGACGACGACGUUGAUAGGCCGGGUGUGUAAGCGCAGCGAUGCGUUGAGCUAACCGGUACUAAUGAACCGUGAGGCUUAACCUU
rnacentral:rRNA from 1 species